rnacentral:rRNA from 1 species
AACGAACGCUGGCGGCAGGCCUAACACAUGCAAGUCGAGCGCCCAGCAAUGGGAGCGGCAGACGGGUGAGUAACGCGUGGGAACCUUCCUGAUAGUACGGAAUAGCCCAGGGAAACUUGGAGUAAUACCGUAUACGCCCGUAAGGGGAAAGAUUUAUCGCUAUCAGAUGGGCCCGCGUAGGAUUAGCUAGUUGGUGAGGUAAUGGCUCACCAAGGCGACGAUCCUUAGCUGGUUUGAGAGAAUGACCAGCCACACUGGGACUGAGACACGGCCCAGACUCCUACGGGAGGCAGCAGUGGGGAAUCUUGGACAAUGGGCGCAAGCCUGAUCCAGCCAUGCCGCGUGAGUGACGAAGGUCUUCGGAUUGUAAAGCUCUUUUGCCAGGGACGAUAAUGACGGUACCUGGAGAAUAAGCCCCGGCUAACUUCGUGCCAGCAGCCGCGGUAAGAC